UUUUGGAAAUAGAGGUCUCACUUUGUUUCUGAAAGAACCCCAGAGUGAGGAGACCCUCACUCAAGUCUCGGGAUAAGCCGACACCCCAAUAAUUCAAGAGAGACC
rnacentral:pre_miRNA from 11 species